rnacentral:rRNA from 1 species
UACAGAGGUCCCAAGCGUUGUUCGGAUUCACUGGGCGUAAAGGGUGCGUAGGCGGUUUGACAAGUCUGAUGUGAAAUCCCGCAGCCUUAACUGCGGAACUGCAUUGGAAACUGUUUGACUAGGAGGAAUGGAGGGGAGACUGGAAUACUUGGUGUAGCAGUGAAAUGCGUAGAUAUCGGGAGGGAACACCUGUGGCGAAAGC